rnacentral:lncRNA from 1 species
GGAAAAAAAACUAUUUAAAUGUAAAUAAUUGUAUUGUCUAUGUUUGUCUGGACUGUACUCUGUGUACGAAAUUGCUGUUUUAUGACACAUUAUUUUGCUAUGCUUCCUAUUAAAUAAAUGUUACGCUAAUAUAUUUUCAAAGAAAAUUCAUGGUAGUGAAGUUUUCAAAAGUUGGAGUUCUCUUUUCUCUAUCGUUUUUGCACAGACCAAAACGUAAUAUUUUUAACAUAGCUGAGGCUUUAAAUUUGCAGACAGAGCAUAUGGUUUUUGUAUGGAGCUGCAAAUUGUUACUUAUGUCUCUUUUCUGUGUGAGUAACCUGUUAUUAAAUAUCAUAAUCCAUGCUAAAAUCCAAGACUCAAAGGAAUCCUAUGAGACAAUCCUGAUUUUAUUUAUUAUCAUCUACACUAAUAUUCAAGAAGUUGUGUUUCUAGGAAUCAACUUGAGAGAGACUGCUUUAUUGGCUAUAGUCCUUACAUUUUCUAAACAUUUCUGUUCAAAGAAGCUUUUUCACAUUUCGAAUUACUGUCUUUACAUUACUUUUUUGAUAAUUGUUUCAUUAGCAGACUUUCUCAAAUUGUGACACGUUCAGAAAGCCUGUUAAUUAGGGGAAACCCGUCAGUGUGUUACAUUUUAUGCUUUUAUUGCACUUUUUUUUUUAAUAUUACAAGUGUUUUUAUCAACAUUGGACCUUCUUGAUUUUAUCCUGAAGAUUGCUGCAUCAAUUUUGUUAGUGGGGAACAUACCACCCACACCAUGCGGGUUGAGCAAAACCUUUUUUUUUGUACUCUACAAGUGAGUACAUCUCUUUAAUUAUUUCUAUUCAGUGAGCACUAUUGUGAGGGGAUAUAUCUUGAUUCCAAUGUUCAGCGUAAUUAAAGCCUACAUCUGAUGCACUUUAUAUUUAAUGAACCUUUUCUCUGUAAAGUGAUGUAUACGUGUCAGCAUAAGUUGUGCUCUCUGUGUAAACUAGGAGCACUUAUUGGAAACUGUAAAUUGUGUAACUGCUACCUAAUUUUAUCUUGCGACCUUCCUAUCUUAUGAAAUAUGUAACCACAUACUGAUUUGUAAACUAAUUUUACAUCUUAUGAAAUAUGUAACCACAUUAAAUCUCUACAUAAUGCUGCUUCCACCUAUCUAUCCUCCCUAAUACACAAGUAUGUCCCGUCUAGGCCCUUACGCUCUGCUGAAGACUUAUGUCUAUCUUCUGUCCGUACUCCCACCUCUGAUGCUCGCCUUCAAGACUUCUCGAGGGCUGCACCGUUCCUGUGGAACUCACUUCCCUCCUCCGUUAGAUGCUCAACCAGUCUCCACUCCGUCACAAAAUCAUUAAAAACCCACUUCUUCAUAAAAGCGUAUCAAUUAAACUGUUAAUAGCGCCCAACUGAUUCCUCUCUUGCAACUGUCAUUAGUCUAAUACUAUCCUUACCUUUUGUGUCACUUUAACCCACUCCCUCUAGCAUGUAAGAUAAUUGAACAGGGCCCUCAACCCCUCUGUUCCUUUGUGUCCAACUUGUCUGGUUACAACUACGUCUGUUCGUCCACCCACUGUAAAGCACUGCGGAAUUUGUUGGCGCUAUAUACAUAAUAACAUAAUAAUAAUAAUAACAACUAAUUUUAUCUUUUGACUUUCCUAUCUACAUUAUUUAUUUUUAAACCUUCAAGCUAAGCUGUAACAAUAUUGUGUAUAAAU